rnacentral:rRNA from 1 species
UGGGGAAUUUUGGACAAUGGGCGAAAGCCUGAUCCAGCAAUGCCGCGUGUGUGAAGAAGGCCUUCGGGUUGUAAAGCACUUUUGUCCGGAAAGAAAUCCUUGGCUCUAAUACAGUCGGGGGAUGACGGUACCGGAAGAAUAAGCACCGGCUAACUACGCGCCAGCAGCCGCGGUAAUACGUAGGGUGCAAGCGUUAAUCGGAAUUACUGGGCGUAAAGCGUGCGCAGGCGGUUUGCUAAGACCGAUGUGAAAUCCCCGGGCUCAACCUGGGAACUGCAUUGGUGACUGGCAGGCUAGAGUAUGGCAGAGGGGGUAGAAUUCCACGUGUAGCAGUGAAAUGCGUAGAGAUGUGGAGGAAUACCGAUGGCGAAGGCAGCCCCCUGGGCCAAUACUGACGCUCAUGCACGAAAGCGUGGGGAGCAAACAGGAUUAGAUACCCUGGUAGUCCACGCCCUAAACGAUGUCAACUAGUUGUUGGGGAUUCAUUUCCUUAGUAACGUAGCUAACGCGUGAAGUUGACCGCCUGGGGAGUACGGUCGCAAGAUUAAAACUUAAAUGAAUUGACGGGGUCAUAGCUG